rnacentral:rRNA from 1 species
AAAGGAAUAGACGGGGGCCCGCACAAGCGGUGGAGCAUGUGGUUCAAUUCGACGCAACGCGCAAAACCUUACCUGGGCUAGAAACGGCAGGGACCUGGUUGAAAGAUCGGGGUGCUUUUCGGAGAAUCUGCUGUUAGGUGCUGCAUGGCUGUCGUCAGCUCGUGUCGUGAGAUGUUGGGUUAAGUCCCGCAACGAGCGCAACCCUUGCCGUUAGUUGCCAGCAUUAAGUUGGGCACUCUAACGGGACUGCCGACCUUCAAGUCGGAGGAAGGUGGGGAUGACGUCAAGUCCUCAUGGCCCUUACGUCCAGGGCUACACACGUGCUACAAUGGCCGGUACAGAGGGUCGCGAACCUGUGAAGGGGAGCUAAUCUCAAAAAACCGGCCUCAGUACAGAUAAGAGUCUGCAACUCGACUCUUUGAAGUCGGAAUCGCUAGUAAUCGCUGAUCAGCAUGGCAGCGGUGAAUACGUUCCCGGGCCUUGUACACACCGCCCGU